GAUGAACGCUGGCGGCGUGCCUAAUACAUGCAAGUCGAACGAAGAUUGUAGCAAUACAUUCUUAGUGGCGAACGGGUGAGUAACGCGUUGGUGACCUGCCCCGAAGUGGAGGAUAACAGUUCGAAAGGGCUGCUAAUACUCCAUGUGAUCUUUCAGAUUAGAUGCUGAUUGAUUAAAGGAUUUAUUCGCUUCGGGAGGGGCCUGCGUCCCAUCAGCUAGUUGGUAGGGUAAUGGCCUACCAAGGCUAUGACGGGUAGGGGACCUGAGAGGGUGACCCCCCACACUGACACUGAAACACGGGUCAGACACCUACGGGUGGCAG
rnacentral:rRNA from 1 species